rnacentral:misc_RNA from 1 species
CAAUAUUACAAAUUUGCAACAAAUGAAUUAAAAAAUAGAGGAAGAAAAAGAGAGGUUACUUUGUUGUGCUGUGUUUGCGAUGUUGCAGUGUUGUGAUUGCCGACUAUGGCACUAAGGAGGCACAUACAAAGCUAGGGGAUUGAUGAGGUAGGGUGGUAGUGGGCAGAGGAGAAGAAAUGAACUUGGUUGGAACGAUCUCGCUUUGGGAGCUCAACCUUGAGAGAAUCAGUUUCCCUUUGGACAAAUCCAAUUCCCAUUUGAGAGCCAAAGCUUGGCUAAUAGUGACUUCCCAUUUAGCAACAGAGGAUAG